UGGGGAAUCUUCCGCAAUGGGCGAAAGCCUGACGGAGCAACGCCGCGUGAGUGAAGAAGGCCUUCGGGUCGUAAAGCUCUGUCUUUAGGGACGAACAACCGCUAUGUGAAUAAUGUAGCGGCCUGACGGUACCUGAGGAGGAAGCUCCGGCUAACUACGUGCCAGCAGCCGCGGUAAUACGUAGGGAGCGAGCGUUGUCCGGAAUUACUGGGCGUAAAGGGCGUGUAGGCGGGGAUUUAAGUAGGGUGUGAAAACUCCGGGCUCAACUUGGAGACUGCAUCCUAAACUGGAUCUCUUGAGGGCAGGAGAGGAAAGUGGAAUUCCUAGUGUAGCGGUGAAAUGCGUAGAUAUUAGGAGGAACACC
rnacentral:rRNA from 1 species